UCGGAUGUGGUGCACGGUGCACGCCCGUUCUUCUUGUCGUUGAAUUAGGAUCGUUGGAGUGGGAGACCUGGGUUCGAUUCCCAGCGUCCGAA